rnacentral:lncRNA from 1 species
AAAACUUAAACUUUCUCUCCUUUUUUUUUAGGGCAUCUCCCUGUCUGGGCAGAGGGCCCUCGGAACUCUGCUAUGGCCACGGUCAUCAACGACGGCAGUCGUCACCUCCGGUGGCCGGAGUCGGAAAAAAAUGCUCCUUUUAGCCCUCUUGACCCCGAUUUGAAGGCAAUGCCUUCUAAAAAAUAGAAAACCUUUCACGCCCCGUUCUGUCGAAGCCCAGGCCAAACCUUAAUAGGUUCUGGGGUUUUCGGUGUCGGAGAAGACCUCUGAUGACAGAGGGAAGCGAAGCAACACAGGUAAAAAACAAACUUUAUUUUUUUUAUACUUCUCGAAUACUGUUCGAAAUAAAAAAUAAAAAAAGGAUCACCUUCUUUUUUCCUUUUAACGUUUUUGUUCUUUGUAUUGAUUUUCUUCUUAAACAAAUACAUGUGUUGUUAUGGCUUUUAUAACCGAAUAUAUUAUAUUUUUAUUUUCCCUAUUUUUUUGCUAUUUUUGUUGCUCUUUCUGUCUCUUUUGUUCUUGCAGGUCGCGAUGGUAGUCAACGACGAUAGGGAGUACACCCUUGCCAUUUCGGUGAAACAAUGGCAAGGGAGACAGUCCUCGGGCGACGCAUCCGCUGACAUGGCCAGGAGUAGCGACGCAUAGGGGAUCUAGGGUUUUUUAGUUUCUGAAAAAAUUUUAAGUUGUGAGCUUUGGCUUGUGUAACAUUG